GAUGAAGAACGUAGCGAAAUGCGAUAAGUAAUGUGAAUUGCAGAAUUCAGUGAAUCAUCGAAUCUUUGAACGCACCUUGCGCCCUUUGGUAUUCCAAAGGGCAUGCCUGUUCGAGCGUCAUUUGUACCCUCAAGCUUUGCUUGGUGUUGGGCGUCUUGUCUCUAGCUUUGCUGGAGACUCGCCUUAAAGUAAUUGGCAGCCGGCCUACUGGUUUCGGAGCGCAGCACAAGUCGCACUCUCUAUCAGCAAAGGUCUAGCAUCCAUUAAGCCUUUUUUUCAACUUUUGACCUCGGAUCAGGUAGGGAUACCCGCUGAACUUAAGCAUAUCAAUAAGCGGAGGA
rnacentral:misc_RNA from 1 species